rnacentral:snRNA from 1 species
CAGUUAGAGUCUUUGACUUC